UGCUGAUUAUUCCUACAAAGGUCUGAUUUUAAUCAUUUUUUUUAGGAAUUUGUCUAAGGCAGACAAGAGAACAGUAUAAUGAGCAUUCAUGCCCAUCAUACUGUUUUAGCAAAAUUAACAUUGUAUCAUUUGGUUUAGAUCAAAUAAGAAUAUCAGUUCAUGAGUCAUGUACUUUUUAUGUACAAACACUAAACUCAGACUGUGAGCAUGUUAAAGUUGAAUAAACCUAGUUUUUCUUUCAAGGGCGUUAUCU
rnacentral:lncRNA from 1 species